GAGCCGCUAGCUCAGUAGGUAGAGCAUCUGACUUUUAAUCAGAUGGUCGUUGGUUCGACUCCAACGCGGCUCACCA
rnacentral:tRNA from 1 species